rnacentral:ncRNA from 1 species
GUCGGGUGCCCGAAAGGGAGAAUAGGGAAGCCGGUGUGAAUCCGGCGCGGGCCCGCCGCUGUAACCGGAAUAAUCCACCUUCGUCGGAUGAUGGCUAUGGUCCGAUAACGGGGUGAUGGCUCAACGGAAGCCACUGGGUUAAAACAACCCGGGAAGGCAAUGAGCCGGAUCCGGAAGCCAGAAGACCUGCCCGGCC